AUUUUGGACACUGGGGGAAACCCUGAUCCAGCCAUCCCGCGUGUAUGAUGAAGGCCUUCGGGUUGUAAAUUACUCUUGGCAGAGAAGAAAAGGCAUCCCCUAAUACCGGAUGCUGCUGACGGUAUCUGCAGAAUAAGCACCGGCUAACUACGUGCCAGCAGCCGCGGUAAUACGUAGGGUGCAAGCGUUAAUCGGAAUUACUGGGCGUAAAGCGUGCGCAAGCGGUUCGGAAAGAAGGAUGUGAAAUCCCAGGGCUCAACCUUGGAACUGCAUUCUUAACUACCGAACUAGAGUAUGUCAGAGGGGGGUAGAAUUCCGCGUGUAGCAGUGAAAUGCGUAGAUAUGCGGAGGAAUACCGAUGGCGAAGGCAGCCCCCUGGGAUAAUACUGACGCUCAUGCACGAAAGCGUGGGUAGCAAACAGG
rnacentral:rRNA from 1 species